rnacentral:lncRNA from 1 species
GAGUGAGUGGCAGGCAGGACCAGUGUGAUCAAAGAUGAGAAAGCUGAAUGCAACAUCACCCCCGAGGAGAGGAAUACAAGGCAAUGGGCCAAGACUGCCGUGGGCCCAGAGCUCUGAGGCGCUCCAGUCCAGCCUGGGACAAGCAGACCUGCACCAGAGGCUGUGCAAAGCCGUGAAAACCACAGCAGGUAACUUUCUAACCAGAACUGCUGCCAGCUAAACAAAUCCCCUAGGAAGGAAACCCUUCUUCACUCUCCAAGUCAAAUUGCUUCUGUGUUAAACCAGAGGCUGUGCAUGCCAGGGAGAAUGCAGUGCCACCUGCUUCCACAGGCACCUGCCACAGCUCCUAUUUACUGAGGAGGGCUGCCCACCUGGAGAAGGCCAGCCAGGAAUUUUGGGGCCCAGAGAGGAUGUCUCAGUCCUCUACACCAAGAAGUGGGAAAUCUCAGCCUCGGCUUCCCCUGCCACACCAAACCGAGACACACGAUGGAGUGGAGAAGUUCUAUGUGCAGAUAUAACUCUGGUUCCUUCACCAAGAUGGUGCCACAAAGUCUCAUCGGCCGAACAAGAGAAACCUGUAACAGAGACUAGACUACAGGCCUAGUUUCAGAGACAGAGAAAAAUAAUUUCCCUGAAAUGCUAUUCUGCGCUGUGUGAGUCAUAGCCGAACUGCCAAGGGAAGCAUUUUUAGAACACCCCAGAGGGGACAGUCAUAGGUCUAAACCUUUAAAGGACUGCAUUUUAAAGGUCAACUUCCUUUUCCCUGGAGGGGGUCCUUCUAAUAGGGACUAUAGCAAUGGGCAAAUAAUAAUUAUGAUAUUGAGAAAGUGGCCUGAAAAAGGAAAAAUUUACUUGGAACCAGCUUCUCAUCCAAGAUGUGCCGCCUCCCUCCCUGCGUGGCUCUGAUCCAGGGAGGCAGUGAUGCUUAGUAGGUUUCCAGGCCUUCCUGACUCGAGGUUGCAUUUUAGUAUUAAUCCAAUUUAUAGAGCUGAGAAUCACAUUUUAGCAGGGACCGCUACCAUGGAAAUGUAUCACAAACUCUUUUUCCUCCAUUUGUAUUUUCAAUAUUCUGCAUUAAUUGCCAUAAUCUUUUCCUCAUGACAAACCUUGAUGUAUUUGUGCACAAACCAAUAUUGAGCACAUACCUGGUGUGUACUAGUAGCCUAAUAAAAAAAAAU